CUAUUUUCAUGGAACCCUUCACAAAUACCGCGUCUAACUCCAACCAGGGUACCUCUCAGGUGUUGAGCACUUAGAACACUCGGCUGGACACUACCAGUUGUAUUUGGCCUUCUAGGCCCUGGGACUCUGCAUUAUCCUGAUGGUCCGAGGAGGGACUGGCCAGGAGGUCCUGGGUCCGCGUACCAGACCUGCAGCAGCCUCCUGGAAACGCGCAGGCUCCGCUCCAACUGCCGCUGCCGAUCGGCGCAGGAGUCCAAGGCGCCCUGCAGCUCCGCUACCAGCCUGAGGACAGGUUUUGCCGAACCUACUUUGAAAGCAGAGAUAAGCGGUUUUGCUGACUCCAGGAUGACUUAGCAAUCAAGCAUAUGGCCAGAAGACAAUGCUAGAACUGGGUCAAGGAACAUCUUAGGAAUGUCAGGCGCCAGACGUGAACAAUGAAGCCCAGGGAAUCUGGAGCAUGUGGCACUUAGAAUAGGUCUGCUAAGCUGGUCUACGUCAUGGAAGGCUGUGCAAGAGACAGAGGAGUGUCAGAUAGUAGAUAGAUAGGCGGAGGGGAGGCUGAAGCCCAGAGAAUGGCCAGGAGGCCGUAGAUAGGACACAUGCAAACACAGCAGCUAAGGGUCAGAGCAAUGGUCUUUGCCCUCAAAGAUCUACCAAGCUAGGCCAGCUUGUCAAUACAUGGUUCAUAUUGACUUGUUUGGGAUAGAUUAUCAGUACAUUAUGUUCUCCAUCAAGUCAGAUUGUUUGUGCAAUCUCAUGUAGUCUCAGCUGGCCUUCAAUUCACUAUGUAUCUGAUGACCUUGAACUCAUGACCUUCCUGUCUCCAUUUCAAUUAUUUUUUUACUUUUUUCUUUUUUGGUUUUUCGAGACAGGGUUUCUCUGUGUAGCCCUGGAUGUCCCGGAACUCACUUUGUAGACCAGGCUAGCCUCGAACUCUUGAGAUCCACCUGCCUCUGCCUCCCAAGUGCUGGGAUUAAAGGUGUGUGCCACCAC
ensembl:processed_transcript BC028777 cDNA sequence BC028777